GGGCUUGUACCGGUUUCGACGGGGGUCUGGAAGUCAGAGUAGCCAUCCGCGGACCGUGGCCGCGCAACAAAACGGAACUUAAAUAUAAACGCUGAAGAUAGAAAUUUAGCAAUCGCUGCUUAAUGCGGCUGUCCGCCCUGGAUUGCUCACAGUCCAGGUCACGGGCAUCAUGAUUUGUGAGGCACUUUUCUCCCUAAGCUUUGCGGGGGCAAAAGAUUUUAUGAAGCUACUGAAUCCGUGAGCCUGUCUUUCGGCACAUGGAGGAGGGAAUGAUCAUAGAAAGACUGUGAUGGGAGAGGCUUUGAUGAAAGGGCUUUCGGACGCGGGUUCGACUCCCGCCAGGUCCAUC
rnacentral:tmRNA from 1 species